rnacentral:rRNA from 1 species
UACGUAGGGUGCGAGCGUUGUCCGGAAUUAUUGGGCGUAAAGGGCUCGUAGGCGGUUUGUCGCGUCGGGAGUGAAAUCCACUGGCUUAACUGGUGGCUUGCUUUCGAUACGGGCAGACUGGAGGUAUGCAGGGGAGAACGGAAUUCCCGGUGUAGCGGUGAAAUGCGUAGGGAUCGGGAAGAACACCAGUGGCGAAAGCGCUCUACUGGGCCACAACUGACACUGAUGGACGAAAGCUAGGGGAGCGAAUGGG